rnacentral:rRNA from 1 species
UACAGAGGUGGCAAGCGUUGUUCGGAAUUACUGGGCGUAAAGGGCGCGUAGGCGGCUUGGUCAGUCCCGUGUGAAAUCCCUCGGCUCAACUGAGGAACUGCACGGGAAACUGCCUGGCUUGAGUUCGGGAGAGGGAAGCGGAAUUCCGGGUGUAGCGGUGAAAUGCGUAGAUAUCCGGAGGAACACCGGUGGCGAAGGCGGCUUCCUGGACCGACACUGACGCUGAGGCGCGAAAGCUAGGGGAGCGAACGGG